rnacentral:tRNA from 1 species
AAGGAAUUAGUUAAUUUAUAACAUUAGUAUGUCAUACUAAAUUUAUUACAAAAGUAAUAUUCCUUU